GAUGAACGCUAGCGGCAGGCCUAAUACAUGCAAGUCGUACGGCAACACAGUUGCGAGCAAUCGCAACCGGUGGCGAGUGGCGCACGGGUGAGUAACGCGUAUGUAACCUACCCUUCUCCGGGACAUAACUCCGCGAAAGCGGUGCUAAUAUCCCAUACCAACUCAUCAAGACAUCUUCUUGAGUUGAAAGCAGCAAUGCGGUGAAGGAUGGGCAUGCGUCCCAUUAGCUGGUUGGUGAGGUAAUGGCCUACCAAGGCUACGAUCAGUAGGGGUUCUGAGAGGAUUAACCCCCAACUGGUACUGAGACACGGACCAGACUCCUACGGGGGCAGCAGUGAGGAAUAUUGGUCAAUGGGCGGAAGCCUGAACCAGCCAUCCCGCGUGAAGGAAGACAGCCUUACGGGUUGUAAACUUUCUUUUCGUCAGAAGAAUAAGCUUGUCGAGACGAGUGAUGCCGGUAUGACAGGAAUAAGCAUCGGA
rnacentral:rRNA from 1 species